rnacentral:rRNA from 1 species
CCUACGGGAGGCAGCAGUGGGGAAUUUUGGACAAUGGGCGAAAGCCUGAUCCAGCCAUGCCGCGUGAGUGAAGAAGGCCUUCGGGUUGUAAAGCUCUUUUAGUCGGAAAGAAAGAGUUGCAAUGAAUAAUUGUGAUUUAUGACGGUACCGACAGAAGAAGCACCGGCUAACUACGUGCCAGCAGCCGCGGUAAUACGUAGGGUGCGAGCGUUAAUCGGAAUUACUGGGCGUAAAGGGUGCGCAGCCGGUCUUGCAAGUCAGAUGUGAAAGCCCCGGGCUUAACCUGGGAAUUGCGUUUGAAACUACAAGGCUAGAGUGCAGCAGAGGGGAGUGGAAUUCCAUGUGUAGCAGUGAAAUGCGUAGAGAUGUGGAAGAACACCAAUGGCGAAGGCAGCUCCCUGGGUUGACACUGACGCUCAUGCACGAAAGCGUGGGGAGCAAACAGGAUUAGAUACCCUGGUAGUCCACGCCCUAAACGAUGUCAACUAGUUGUCGGAUCCAAUUAAGGAUUUGGGUAACGUAGCUAACGCGUGAAGUUGACCGCCUGGGGAGUACGGUCGCAAGAUUAAAACUCAAAGGAA